AUGCAAGUGUAAGUUCACGCCACGCUUUAGAACGGGCGAAACCGCGAAUGGCUCAGGAACCGGACCUAAUCCUCGGGACCGUAAUCCUCCUCGGAGGCGAUGGAUAACUGUGGCAAUUCUAGAGCUAAUACAUGUGACACAGGCCGCGAUCGGCCGUCGCGCCGUGGUCGCCUCGCCUCGCGCGCUGGCACCCGCGGCGGCCGUCUUGGGUCGCGGCGCUACAUAUUAGACUGAGACCGAUGCGCGAUUCCCGCUCUCCCUUCGCGGUCUCCGGUUUCGGCCGGUCUCUGCGUCGGGGCCAAAGGGCGGCGCGCUCCGCUUUGGUGACUCUGGAUAACUCACUGGUCGAUCGCACGGGCUUCCACGCCCGGCGACGGGUCCCUCGAGGGUCCGCCCUAUCAACUGUCGACGGUCGGUUAAGUGCCUACCGUGGUUACUACGGGUAACGGGGAAUCGGGGUUCGAUUCCGGAGAGGGAGCAUGCGAAACGGCUACCACA
rnacentral:rRNA from 1 species